GGAGCUUUCUGUAUGGGUUGAAGUCGUACCGUAAGGAGCGGUGGACUGUACAGAAGUGAGAAUGCUGGCAUAAGUAGCGAGAAAUAAGUGAGAAUCUUAUUGGCCGAAAACCUAAGGUUUCCUGAGGAAGGUUCGUCCGCUCAGGGUUAGUCGGGACCUAAGCCGAGGCCGAAAGGCGUAGGUGAUGGACAAUCGGUUGAUAUUCCGAUACCACCUAUUUACGUUUGAGAAAUGGGGUGACGCAGUAGGAUAAGAUGUGCGCACUAUUGGAUGUGCGUCUAAGCACUUAGGCAUGCUUGAUAGGCAAAUCCGUCGAGCUAAGCUGAGGUGUGAUGGGGAGCCAUUUAUGGCGAAGUAUCUGAUUCCACACUGCCAAGAAAAGCCUCUAUCGAGUGAAUAGGUGCCCGUACCGCAAACCGACACAGGUAGGUGAGGAGAGAAUCCUAAGGCCAUCGGAAGAAUUGCUGUUAAGGAACUCGGCAAAUUGACCCCGUAACUUCGGGAGAAGGGGUGCCUACGAAAGUAGGCCGCAGAGAAUAGGCCCAAGCAACUGUUUAGCAAAAACACAGGUCUCUGCUAAAGCGAAAGCUGAUGUAUAGGGGCUGACGCCUGCCCGGUGCUGGAAGGUUAAGGGGAACACUUAGCGUAAGCGAAGGUGUGAACUUAAGCCCCAGUAAACGGCGGCCGUAACUAUAACGGUCCUAAGGUAGCGAAAUUCCUUGUCGGGUAAGUUCCGACCCGCACGAAUGGCGUAAUGAUUUGGGCACUGUCUCAACAGCAAAUCCGGCGAAAUUGUAGUGCAAGUGAAGAUGCUUGCUACCCGCGAUUGGACGGAAAGACCCCGUAGAGCUUUACUGUAGCUUAGCAUUGAAUCUCGGUAUUGUCUGUACAGGAUAGGUGGGAGACUUGGAAGCUUGGGCGUCAGCCUGAGUGGAGUCAUCCUUGGGAUACCACCCUGACAGUACUGGGGUUCUAACCGGCGGCCAUGAAUCUGGUCACGGGACAUUGUUAGGUGGGCAGUUUGACUGGGGCGGUCGCCUCCUAAAAAGUAACGGAGGCGCCCAAAAGUUCCCUCAGCGCGGUCGGAAAUCGCGCGAAGAGUGCAAAGGCAGAAGGGAGCUUGACUGCGACACAUACAGGUGGAGCAGGGACGAAAGUCGGGCUUAGUGAUCCGGUGGUACCUCGUGGGAGGGCCAUCGCUCAACGGAUAAAAGCUACCUCGGGGAUAACAGGCUGAUCUCCCCCAAGAGUCCACAUCGACGGGGAGGUUUGGCACCUCGAUGUCGGCUCGUCGCAUCCUGGGGCUGAAGUAGGUCCCAAGGGUUGGGCUGUUCGCCCAUUAAAGCGGCACGCGAGCUGGGUUCAGAACGUCGUGAGACAGUUCGGUCCCUAUCCGUCGCGGGCGUAGGAAAUUUGAGAGGAGCUGUCCUUAGUACGAGAGGACCGGGAUGGACCAACCUCUGGUGCACCAGUUGUCACGCCAGUGGCACAGCUGGGUAGCUAUGUUGGGACUGGAUAAACGCUGAAAGCAUCUAAGCGUGAAGCCAACCUCAAGAUGAGAUUUCCCAUAGCGUAAGCUAGUAAGACUCCUGGAAGAACACCAGGUUGAUAGGUCAGAGAUGUAAGCAUGGCAACAUGUUAAGUUGACUGAUACUAAUAAGUCGAGGGCUUGACCAAA
rnacentral:rRNA from 1 species